AGUGAACGCUGGCGGUAGGCCUAACACAUGCAAGUCGAACGGCAGCACAGUAAGAGCUUGCUCUUACGGGUGGCGAGUGGCGGACGGGUGAGGAAUACAUCGGAAUCUACUUUUUCGUGGGGGAUAACGUAGGGAAACUUACGCUAAUACCGCAUACGACCUACGGGUGAAAGCAGGGGAUCUUCGGACCUUGCGCGAUUGAAUGAGCCGAUGUCGGAUUAGCUAGUUGGCGGGGUAAAGGCCCACCAAGGCGACGAUCCGUAGCUGGUCUGAGAGGAUGAUCCGCCACACCGGAACUGAGACACGGUCCAGACUCCUACGGGAGGCAGCAGUGGGGAAUAUUGGACAAUGGGCGCAAGCCUGAUCCAGCCAUACCGCGUGGGUGAAGAAGGCCUUCGGGUUGUAAAGCCCUUUUGUUGGGAAAGAAAAGCAGCAGGUUAAUACCCCGCUGUUCUGACGGUACCCAAAGAAUAAGCACCGGCUAACUUCGUG
rnacentral:rRNA from 1 species